GAAAUGCGAUAAGUAGUGUGAAUUGCAGAAUUCAGUGAAUCAUCGAAUCUUUGAACGCACAUUGCGCCCCUCGGCAUUCCGUGGGGCAUGCCUGUUCGAGCGUCAUCUACACCCUCAAGCUCUGCUUGGUGUUGGGCGUCUGUCCCGCCUCCGCGCGCGGACUCGCCCCAAAUGCAUUGGCAGCGGUUCCUUGCCCCCCUCUUUGCGCAGCACAUUGCCAUUCGAGGCGGCGGCGGCCCGCGUCCAACAAGCUCAACCCCCCCGUCUUUGACCUCGGAUCAGGUAGGGAUACCCGUUGAACUUAAGC
rnacentral:misc_RNA from 1 species